AGACUUUGAUCCUGGCUCAGAUUGAACGCUGGCGGCAUGCCUAACACAUGCAAGUCGAACGAUGACGAAACAGCUUGCUGUUUCUGAUUAGUGGCGGACGGGUGAGUAAUGUAUAGGGAUCUGCCUAGUAGUGGGGGACAACAGCCGGAAACGGCUGCUAAUACCGCAUACGCUCUACGGAGGAAAGCGGGGGCUCGUAAGACCUCGUGCUAUUAGAUGAACCUAUAUCAGAUUAGCUAGUUGGUGGGGUAAGGGCCUACCAAGGCGACGAUCUGUAGCUGGUCUGAGAGGAUGAUCAGCCACACUGGGACUGAGACACGGCCCAGACUCCUACGGGAGGCAGCAGUGGGGAAUAUUGGACAAUGGGCGCAAGCCUGAUCCAGCAAUGCCGCGUGUGUGAAGAAGGCCUUCGGGUUGUAAAGCACUUUCAAUAGGGAGGAAAAGGAUG
rnacentral:rRNA from 1 species